UAAUACGUAGGCAGCGAGCGUUGUUCGGAGUUACUGGGCGUAAAGCGUGCGUAGGCGGUGUCUUAAGUUUGUUGUGAAAUCUCCCGGCUUAACCGGGAGGGUGCGGCGAAUACUGAGAUGCUGGAGUGCCGGAGAGGUAAGCGGAAUUCCUGGUGUAGCGGUGAAAUGCGUAGAUAUCAGGAGGAACACCUGCGGUGUAGACGGCUUACUGGACGGUAACUGACGCUGAGGCACGAAAGCGUGGGUAGCAAACAGGAUUAGAUACCCUGGUAGUCCACGCCCUAAACGAUGCAUACUUGGUGUGGGCAGUUCAGUCUGUCCGUGCCGAAGCUAACGCGAUAAGUAUGCCGCCUGGGGAGUACGGUCGCAAGGCU
rnacentral:rRNA from 1 species